rnacentral:rRNA from 1 species
UGGGGAAUCUUGGACAAUGGGCGCAAGCCUGAUCCAGCCAUGCCGCGUGGAUGAUGAAGGCCUUAGGGUUGUAAAAUCCUUUCGCCGAGGACGAUAAUGACGGUACUCGGAGAAGAAGCUCCGGCUAACUUCGUGCCAGCAGCCGCGGUAAUACGAAGGGGGCUAGCGCUGUUCGGAUUUACUGGGCGUAAAGCGCGUGUAGGCGGGUCGUUAAGUUGGGGGUGAAAUCCCGAGGCUCAACCUCGGAACUGCCUUCAAAACUGGCGACCUGGACCUAAGUAGAGGCAAGUGGAAUUGCGAGUGUAGAGGUGAAAUUCGUAGAUAUCGGAAGGAACAUCGGUGGCGAAGGCGUCUACCUGGCCUAAUACUGACACUGAGGCACGAAAGCGUGGGGAGCAAACAGGAUUAGAUACCCCCGUAGUCCCUGAGCGGGCUGGCAAGGCGCAU